rnacentral:rRNA from 1 species
UUCGAGUGGCGGACGAGUGAGUAACGCGUGGGUAACCUGCCUUACACAGGGGGAUAACACCUGGAAACAGGUGCUAAUACCGCAUAAGCGCACAGGGCCGCAUGGCCCGGUGUGAAAAACUCCGGUGGUGUAAGAUGGACCCGCGUCUGAUUAGCUUGUUGGCGGGGUAGAGGCCCACCAAGGCGACGAUCAGUAGCCGGCCUGAGAGGGUGGACGGCCACAUUGGGACUGAGACACGGCCCAAACUCCUACGGGAGGCAGCAG